rnacentral:tRNA from 1 species
CCUUAGCUCAGUUGGUUAGAGCAGUGGACUCAUAAUCCAUUGGUCGUAGGUUCAAGUCCUACAGGGCC